rnacentral:rRNA from 1 species
UACGAAGGGGGCUAGCGUUGCUCGGAAUCACUGGGCGUAAAGGGUGCGUAGGCGGGUCUUUAAGUCAGGGGUGAAAUCCUGGAGCUCAACUCCAGAACUGCCUUUGAUACUGAAGAUCUUGAGUUCGGGAGAGGUGAGUGGAACUGCGAGUGUAGAGGUGAAAUUCGUAGAUAUUCGGAGGAACACCGGUGGCGAAGGCGACGUCCUGGACCGGCAUUGACGCUGAGGCGCGAAAGCCAGGGGAGCAAACGGG